AACUGACAUGUCAUUAUUCUGCAGGUUAUGAAUGUAAAGUGGAAUUCUGCUCAUUUAUUGGAAAAACCUGGACAGAGUUACUUAGUCACACACGGGAGCAUCACAGAGAAGACUUCGUUUGUAACCAAUGCAAUAAGAAGUUCAAACGCAAAGCCUUUUUACAAGCACACCUUAAAACUCAUGCUCAAGUGAGGGAAGUCUUCAGAUGUCCCAGGAAAGACUGCGAGAGAACUUACACAACGUCAUUUAAUUUGCACAGCCAUAUUCUAUCAUUUCAUGAGCGACAACGAAAUUUUGUUUGUGGGUAUCCUGGCUGUGGGAAAGACUUUUCUAUGAACCAAAGUUUGGAACGUCACUCUGUUGUUCAUGAUCCUAAAAAACAGAAAUUAAAGGGAAAACGACCACGUCCUAAGCGUAGUCUUGCAUCUCGUCUUGCUGGAUAUAUCCCUUCCAAGAACCAGCCAGCUGCUGCUUCAUGUAUUUUAACUGAAAUGCUUGAAAAGACUAAAAUGUCUGUAUUAGAAGAAAAAGAUGAGCUAACUGAACCAGUGGUAGCCAAUUAAUACUAUUUUAGGUAAUGAGGCUAAAUGUAGACUUUGAACUAAUACUUCAAUCCAGGUUCUCCACGGAAACAUCAGCUUUUCCAAUGUUGUAGCCUUCUACCCUGUUUAGACUUAUGGUGGGUGCCUCGCCAUAUAGUAAGAAAUGGAGUUACUCAUACAUUUUAUUUUUGUACUUCAAGAACUCUUGUAUAUACAGAAGUUUACUACUGCCAUUGUAUAGUAAAACAUACUCAGUCAAGUCAGUAAAAACUAAGGGUUUUUUCCCCUCCA